ensembl:lncRNA
ACAGACUGCAGUGCUUUAUCUGGUUCCCUCUCUCUCUGUGGUUCUCCUGUGUGUUGGUGUUAUUGGAUUUCUCAUCUACAAAGUAAAGCAAUUGUCCAGGAAAAUAAAGGUUCUCCAGAGAGGAGAUACUUACGCUUCUCUCCAGCUCUCUGCUGUACAGAACUCUGAAUAUGAAACUCUGCAGACUAACAGAGAGACAAAAAAAGAACAACAUUUGAAAAGCUGCAAGUUGAAUGAGUGAAUGAAUGAAUGAAUUAGUGAAUGAGUGAGUGAGUGAAUUAAUGAAUGAGUGAAUGAAUGAGUGAGUGAAUGAAUGAAUGAGUGAGUGAAUGAAUGAAUGAGUGAGUGAAUGAAUGAGUGAGUGAAUGAAUGAGUGAGUGAAUGAAUGAAUGAGUGAGUGAGUGAAUGAAUGAAUGAGUGAGUGAAUGAAACAGUGAAUGAAUGAAUGAGUGAAUGAAUGAAUGAAUGAAUGAGUGAGUGAAUGAAUGAGUGAACGAAUGAGUGAAUGAAUGAAUGAAUGAGUGAAUGAAUGAAUGAGUGAGUGAAUGAAACAGUGAAUGAAUGAAUGAGUGAAUGAAUGAGUGAGUGAAUGAAUUAAUGAAUGAGUGAAUGAAUGAGUGAGUGAGUGAAUGAAACAGUGAAUGAAUGAAUGAGUGAAUGAAUGAAUGAAUGAAUGAAUGAAUGAGUGAAUGAAUGAAUGAGUGAGUGAAUGAAUGAGUGAGUGAGUGAGUGAAUGAGUGAAUGAAUGAAUGAGUGAAUGAAUGAGUGAGUGAGUGAGUGAGUGAGUGAGUGAACGAAUGAAUGAAUGAAUGAAUGAGUGAGUGAAUGAAUGAGUGAACGAAUGAGUGAAUGAAUGAAUGAAUGAGUGAGUGAGUAAGUGAAUGAGUGAAUGAAUGAAAGCGUGAAUGAUCUUUAUUGUCAUUGUAUAUCUCUGCAUACAACGAAAUCUGAAGUCCUAUCGAAGUUGAUAUAUAAAAAAUAACUAAAAGAAGAAAAAUAGACAAACCAAUUUACCUGAAGUGCAAAAGUGCAAAAUCCACAUUUAGUGCACGUGUGAGUUUAAAGUCCUGAUAGGAGAUGGGAAAGAACUGUCCUGUAGACGUGAGGUCCUUGCUCUUAAGGACCUAUACCACCUGCCUGAGGGCAGGAGAUCAAGCAGGUAGUGGCCUGGGUGUGAUAUAUCAGAGAUGAUGUUUUGGCCCUACUGAGAUAGCGGGAGCAGGCAGUGUUUUACAGGGAGGGUAGUGAGCAGCCAGUGAUUCUUUGGGCUGUGUUAAUUAUUCUUUGGAGAGCUCUCUCGUCUGCUGCUGUGUAACUGGAGUACCACACUGAAAUGCGGUACGCCUGCACGCAGAGUCAGGUUGUUUCAUCAACACCACACUUCCAGUUUCUGGAUCUCCUCCUUGUAGGCUGAUUCAUCCCCUCCCGAGAUAAGUCCGAUAUCUGUAGUGUCAUCCUCAAACUUAAUGAUGGUGUUGGAGAGAUGAGAAGUUCAGUCAUAUGUGUACAAGGAGUAUUGUAGAGGACUCAGCACACAGCCUUGUGGAGAGCCGGUGCUGAGCAUGAUGCUAGAAGACAGCUAGAGGCCAAGCUUUACAGAUUGUGGAAGGUUUGUGAGGAAGUCCUUUAUUAUCCUUUAAGUUUUUAUUCAAAAAUGACUUUUCAUACUAUUUUCUGUACAUUUAAUGUUGUGGUGUGUCGCUAAAACAAGCUAGAUCCUGUUCUUACUUAUUUUAUAGCAGCUUUAAACAGUCGGCCCCUCACCAGCCUCUCUCUUUCUUUCUCUUGACGUUAAUAAGACAAAAAAAACACACAGCUUGUCAUGUAACUGAGAAACUGCAAAGUACAAGCUAACUCACACUGCGUGGCUAACAUUAGCCUCAGUUAAACCAGUUGCUUGAUAUUUAGACAGAUGAUAUAUCACCUGAAGUAGUGCAGUCUCCUUAUCUCCUUAUCUCCUUUUACACAAAAUCAGGAGCAUAAUGUAGAAUAGAGAUAUUUUCACCAGAUGACUGGAUUAAUUUGGGGAAUGAACUCCCCACUUCUUGUGUAAAUGCUUCUGCAGAUUAUUUAAGAAAAAAAUGAUUUUUAUUUAUUUGUAUUCAGCACGAUAUACGAG